rnacentral:rRNA from 1 species
GACGAACGCUGGCGGCGUGCCUAAUACAUGCAAGUAGAACGCACAGUUUAUACCGUAGCUUGCUACACCAUAGACUGUGAGUUGCGAACGGGUGAGUAACGCGUAGGUAACCUGCCUGGUAGCGGGGGAUAACUAUUGGAAACGAUAGCUAAUACCGCAUAAUAUUGAUUAUUGCAUGAUAAUUAAUUGAAAGGUGCAAUUGCACCACUACCAGAUGGACCUGCGUUGUAUUAGCUAGUAGGUGAGGUAACGGCUCACCUAGGCGACGAUACAGAGCCGACCUGAGAGGGUGAUCGGCCACACUGGGACUGAGACACGGCCCAGACUCCUACGGGAGGCAGCAGUAGGGAAUCUUCGGCAAUGGACGAAAGUCUGACCGAGCAACGCCGCGUGAGUGAAGAAGGUUUUCGGAUCGUAAAGCUCUGUUGUAAGAGAAGAACGGGUGUGAGAGUGGAAAGUUCACACUGUGACGGUAUCUUACCAGAAAGGGACGGCUAACUACGUG